UGCCAAAUUCAUAUGACAGACAUCUCUUUUAAUGCUUGUACAGUGCCACUUAUUCAUCUGAAGAAGCAAAAGGAAAUGCUUUCAACCCGGAUCCCAGACACAGAAAGGAGCCCAGGUUUAAAAGCUCCUCCCUGCCAAGGACAGAGUGCCACUCAACUCCAUCUUUGCCCAUAAGUGUCUCUCCAGAGGACAUUUGGCAAUAGCUAGAGACAUUUGGGGAUGUCAAAACUAGGAAGGACGCUACUGCAUCAGCUUUAUUGAAGUAUAAUUGAUGCACAAGGAACUAUGCAUAUUUCAAAUGAAUAAUUUGAUGCAUUUUGACCUACGUAUACACCUGCAGAAUCAUCAUCAUACAUAAUGUAAUUUAAAGCUCAAAUGACUAGGGCGACUGCUGACCCACAGGACAUCCUUGUGUCAAUUAGAAAGAAAAGGUCCCUCCUGCCUGUCAGUUGCUUUCAGACAGAUGGGAAGAAACAAUGUCCUUGCUCUCAGCUCUUGGCUACCUCCUCAGCUGGAUGCCUUCAUACUGUGAGCAGCAUACACAACCAUAAAUGGCAGUCCUGCAAACUGGUCUGCUAAACUCAUUUUUUUCAAAACAUCCUCCCAAGGUUUUGAAGAUUACACGCUGGUUUCCAUUUCAAGGUGGUAGAAUGGAAAUAGAUUGUAGUCUCCUUUUCCCACUGGAAAUCUCAAAAUUUUAGAAAGGAUUUUUUAAUGCAUAUAGCUGGGAAACAGUAUCAAGCUUUGGAGGACCAUAUAAACUUUGAGAGGACAUUUGGAAGACAGAAAGCAGGUGUUAUUAGAAGGAGGAUUUAAAACCAGCUCAAAACAAGAAUAGGAGAGUGCUGCCAAUAAAUGUUGGGAAUGGAUACAAAAGACAACAGUGUUUGCUACAGGAGAGCAGUAGGAAGAGCAAGGUUGAACUGUGCACCUUCCCUCUACCAACUUAGGCCACAUUUGGAGUCAAAGAGUAGCAACAGGAGUUACUGCUUCCAGCUGGGAGUCAAAGGUAUGGAAGCUUGAAUCAGAGAAACAAAGCAGCAUCCUGGACACCCUGAAUAGCUGGAGCUACCAAUGGAAUGAGACAGCCUCUCCCCUACCAGGAGCUAAUCUAUGAGGCACCCUGCCAGCGGUAUCCUCAUCCCCUCCCAUACACUUUUGAAAACAGACUGAAAUACAAGUUCCUGCAGCAAAUCUGGUCCUUCUCUCUAAGCAGCCUGCAGGAUCACAUAGAACAAAGAGCCUAAUAAGGAGUCUCAGCUAACAGAUGAACACGCAGGAGUCACUAAGUGUUGGAGGAAGGCCAAUACCAUUAAAAAGAGAUACAAUAGAGUUCCUUGUUUUUAAAACAUGAAGAAUUUACAGCCCGGAAUUAAUAAUGUCAGAAAAGGACUUCAGAAUAUUUACAAGUCAUAUCCACAGAGAUAUGUGAGAGAAUAUUAAAUCCACAGAAAAUAAUCAAUUGGAAAGCACACCUAUUAAAAUAUUGAUCUUUUAAAUAGAAUACUCGACAAGUAGGUCAAAUAAGAGAAUGGACACAAAGAACAAAUUGCUAAACUGUAAUAUUAAUCCAAAAAUUUCUUCCAGAAUGCAAUAAAAAGUGAUGAAUAUAUAAAAAGAAUAAAAUAAAAGUUAGGAAUUAUGUAAAAUAGACUCAAAUGCUCCAUCAUCCACCCAAUCGGAGUAGUAUUAGCAGGAAUGGAAGGAAGGUAACAUAUACAUUAGUUUAGUUGCAAUUUAAGGUCCAACCAAGUUCUGAGUAAGAUAAAUUUAAAUAAUAAACCAUACCUAGAUAUUAUAUUAACAUUUCCCAAACCAAGAAUAAAGGAAACAAAUACUAAAAUCUUUGGGAAAGAAAAAACAAAAUCUCCUAUACAAUUUUCUUGUUAACGAAUGAAUAAAAUCAAAGGAGCAAGAAAAAAAGUUAAACCUGCAAUUUUAUAUCCAACCAAACUAUCAUUCAAGAAUGAAAAUGAAACAUGAAGGAACAAGAAACUUUACCACUCACAAUAAUUCCUUGAUAUAAUUUUGCCAACCAAAGUAAAAAUGAAUAUAAUAAUAAGGAAGCUCUGAAAAAUAAUGGUGAACAAAAAAAUCAAUUAAAUUAUAUUAUUAAUUCUAGAUAACUAUUGAUUUUUUAAAACAACAAUGACAGGAAUUUUUAAAGUAACAAUGUAGAAUAAACUUUCAAAUUAGGUCAAUAUGGAAGAGAAUUGAAAUGGGAAGAAAUACUUAAGUAAAACUAAAGCAUACAAAAAUUUUGGUUUUGUUUAAUAACUUUAGAGAAACACAGACCAAUUCUGAAUAUUAAUAGAAAAUAUAUUUCAUUCAAGUGCUAACUGAAUAGCAUUUAGUAGAAAAACACAAAUACAAUUUAUAAUUUUUACACUAUCACAAAAAAGUGGAAGAAAAUAAAAUCAAUCCAACAAAGGCAGAAAAAACUUGAAAUGGUAUUCAAAUAUACUCCCCUCUCCCCUAAUUUAAUCAGGUCCACAAAAUUUCAUAGGCAACUCUGACCAACUCUUUAAAAAAUAAAAAAAGUCUUUUAAGAAUAUGCAUUAGCUUUUUAAAAAUUUCGAACAGGACUGCAUAAGGAAAGAAAACCAUAGCAAAUCUCACAUAGAUGCAAAUUGCUAAUAAAAUACUAGAAAUUUAAAUUCAGCAAUCAAUUAAAAGAAUAAUGCACUAUGAUCAAGUAAGGUUUAUCCCAGGAAUACAAAAUAUAGCUUUUUAAUAAUGAACAACCAAUAUAAUCCAAUAUAAUUGGCUAACUUAAUCAUAUGAUUUAGGAGAGAAACAGUUUCAAUAGAUGCCCAAAGACAAUUGUGAUUAUGUGUGUAUAUGUAAUAUACUUGUGUGUGCGUCUGUUUGCGUAAAAAGUAAGAACAAAAAGAAACUUCCUUAAUCUAAUAAAGAGUAUCUACCCCAAAAUACAGCAAAUGUGACAUUUAUUAGAAAUAUUGUAAGGUCAAGAACAAAACAAGAAUGCCCAUUGCUACUGUUACUGUUCAACAUUAGACUGAACAUCCUAGCCAAUGGAAUUAAAUAAGUGAAACCAUAGUAAGUUGUAUAAAUGUUGAAAAAUAAGGGGUAAACUGUUAUUAUUUACAGAGAAAAUGAUAGAAAUUUCAAGAUAAUCAAAGGAAAAACUUUUAUAGCUAAGAAGAGAGUUCAGCAAGAUAGCAAGAAACAAAAACAACAUAAAAAACAAUGACUUUUCUAUAUAUUGCCAUUGAUUGUUUUUAAAAUGCAAUUGGGAAGGAAAUUAAUGAAUUAAUGCAACAAUACACAAGUAGUUUGAAGAAACAGAAUAGAGUUCAAAAAAUAGACUCACAAACAAACAGAAAAUUUAUAGAAAGUAUAGUCAUUAAGGCCACAGACUAAAUCUAGAUCCAUAUGUUUUAUUUUUUGCUCCACUAUUUCUUGACUAUGUGUUGCUGUGCAAGUUAUUUGAUAUUUCUGUACCUGUUUCCUUGUCUGUAAAAUGAGGAAUAAUCAUAGAACCAACCAAUAUGUGUAUUUAAAUGAUAAAUAUGUACGUACAUAUGUAUGCAUCUAUCUAUAGAACACAUAUGUUUAUGAAAUAUGAUAAAAAGUGGAACUUCAAAUCAAUGGGAAAAUAAUGGUAUGCCAUUUCAAAUCAAUGAGACUUACUAGCUAUCCUUUUAUAAAAAGUAAAAGUUUGAUUUCAUCUUACACUGUUCAAAAAAUUGUAAUUAAGACUUAAAAUCUUUUAAUGAUAAGAAAUUAUUAGAAGAAAAUGUAGGCAAAUAUAUGGUGCCUUAGAGUUAGGAAGACCUUCUGAAAUAAAACACAAAAAGCAAAAGCCAUAAAAGAAAAUAUGAGUCCAGGCGAGGUGGCUCACGUCUGUAA